rnacentral:rRNA from 1 species
CUCUGGCGAGACUGCCCGGGUCAACCGGGAGGAAGGUGGGGACGACGUCAAGUCAUCAUGGCCCUUACAUCCAGGGCUACACACGUACUACAAUGGCAGGUACAAAGGGUUGCCAAGCCGCGAGGCCGCGCUAAUCCCAGAAAGCCUGUCUCAGUCCGGAUUGCAGUCUGCAACUCGACUGCAUGAAGCUGGAAUCGCUAGUAAUCCCGGAUCAGCAUGCCGGGGUGAAUACGUUCCCGGGCCUUGUACACACCGCCCGUGGGGCGGGGGCGG